rnacentral:rRNA from 1 species
GAUGAACGCUGGCGGCGUGCCUAAUACAUGCAAGUCGAGCGAACAGACGAGGAGCUUGCUCCUCUGACGUUAGCGGCGGACGGGUGAGUAACACGUGGAUAACCUACCUAUAAGACUGGGAUAACUUCGGGAAACCGGAGCUAAUACCGGAUAAUAUAUUGAACCGCAUGGUUCAAUAGUGAAAGACGGUUUUGCUGUCACUUAUAGAUGGAUCCGCGCCGCAUUAGCUAGUUGGUAAGGUAACGGCUUACCAAGGCAACGAUGCGUAGCCGACCUGAGAGGGUGAUCGGCCACAACGGAACUGGGACACGGUCCAGACUCCUAAGGGAGGCAGCAGUAGGGAAUCUUCCGCAAUGGGCGAAAGCCUGACGGAGCCACGCCGCGUGAGUGAUGAAGGUCUUCGGAUCGUAAAACUCUGUUAUUAGGGAAGAAAAAAUGUGUAAGUAACUAUGCACGUCUUGAAGGUACCUAAUCAGAAAGCCACGGCUAAAUACGUG